rnacentral:lncRNA from 1 species
GUAAGGCAGGGUUUUUGCCUUUUUUAUUGCAUGUUAUCCUGAUUUUGAUCCAAAGACUAUGAAUUGUGUGUGUGUGUGUGUGUGUGUGUGUGUGUGUGUGUGUGUGUGUGUGUGUGCGUGCGUGCGUGUGUGUGUUUUUUUUUUUUUUACAUUGUACCAAAUGUCCCCACAAUUAAAGUGAACCACCUAUGUAUGUAAUUUUGAUAACAGGGAAGGAACCAAAGGAAACAAAAUGCAAAGUCACCAUGGAGAAAUUGUUUGGUAUGUGAUAUAUCAAUUAGACAUUAUUUAUUUAUACAGACAUAACAUCCUUUGCUAUAUAACAAUCUAACUUUACAAUUUUUCAGAAAUGAAUACUAAGAUACUCCAACAAAUUCAAAUGCUGGAACAGAGACAAGCUGUCAUCAUGAAUGACUUGGCCAAAGUUAAGUCUGUUCUCAUGAAGCGGGCAGAAGAAGAUGCCCAUGAGGAACUUUUUAAACAACAACAGUGCUCCAGCUUUGAAAUGUUUGAAGCCUUCUGUCAGAGGCUUGAAGAAGACAAAAAUUAUCGAGAGCUUUAUGUACACUAUCUCAUCCAUACUCACGGCAGCUCCAAUAUAGCGUCAGACAAUGUUCUCUGUCUGUAUAACAGAACGGGGAAAGAUGGGAAGAAGGUGUUGCCACCUGUGCUCCUGACAUGUUUGAAAAAAUGUGUCAGGUCUUUUCACAAACAAAAUGAAAUAGAGGUGAAGAAGCUAAAAGUAACCACCAGAACAACACCAGACGCGGAAUGUAUUCGCCAAGUAGAAAUUUUUUUGUCCAACACCAACACCAGGCUGAAAAGGAAACCAAAUAAAGGAAAAAUCUGACUUUUUGUUUGAUUGUUUUGAUUGAUGGAAAUAAAGAAUGUGGGUGUAAAAGUUUGAGUUAACUGAGUCAUUUUAGAUAUCAGUGAACUAACAGAAUUAUUGCAUAGUGGUGUUAUAUGGUGAUCUCACAGUAUGAGCACACAGUGACCACAGUAUGAGCAUACAGUGUUCACAGUAUGAGCACACGGUGACUACAGUAUGAGCACACGGUGAGUGCACAGUGACAUCACAGUGACCAGAGUAUGAGCGCACAGUGAUCACAGUAUGAGCACACAGUGACCAGAGUAUGAGCACACAGUGAUCACAGUAUGAGCACACAGUGACCACAGUAUGAGCACACAGUGAUCACAGUAUGAGCACACAGUGACCACAGUAUGAGCACACAGUGACUACAGUAUGAGCACACGGUGAGUGCGCGGGACAUCACAGUGACCACAGUAUGAGCACACAGUGAUCACAGUAUGAGCACACAGUGACCAGAGUAUGAGCACACAGUGAUCACAGUAUGAGCACACAGUGACCAGAGUAUGAGCACACAGUGAUCACAGUAUGAGCACACAGUGAUCACAGUAUGAGCACACAGUGACCACAGUAUGAGCACACAGUGACUACAGUAUGAGCACACGGUGAGUGCGCGGGACAUCACAGUGACCACAGUAUGAGCACACAGUGAUCACAGUAUGAGCACACAGUGACCAGAGUAUGAGCACACAGUGAUCACAGUAUGAGCACACAGUGACCAGAGUAUGAGCACACAGUGAUCACAGUAUGAGCACACAGUGAUCACAGUAUGAGCACACAGUGACCAGAGUAUGAGCACACAGUGAUCACAGUAUGAGCACACAGUGACCAGAGUAUGAGCACACAGUGAUCACAGUAUGAGCACACAGUGAGU